ACACAUGCANGCCGAGCGGUAGAGAUUCUUCGGAAUCUUGAGAGCGGCGUACGGGUGCGGAACACGUGUGCAACCUGCCUUUAUCUGGGGGAUAGCCUUUCGAAAGGAAGAUUAAUACCCCAUAAUAUACUGGAUGGCAUCAUUCGGUAUUGAAAACUCCGGUGGAUAGAGAUGGGCACGCGCAAGAUUAGAUAGUUGGUGAGGUAACGGCUCACCAAGUCUGCGAUCUUUAGGGGGCCUGAGAGGGUGAUCCCCCACACUGGUACUGAGACACGGACCAGACUCCUACGGGAGGCAGCAGUGAGGAAUAUUGGACAAUGGGUGAGAGCCUGAUCCAGCCAUCCCGCGUGAAGGACGACGGCCCUAUGGGUUGUAAACUUCUUUUGUAUAGGGAUAAACCUACUCUCGUGAGAGUAGCUGAAGGUACUAUACGAAUAAGCACCGGCUAACUCCGUGCCAGCAGCCGCGGUAAUACGGAGGGUGCAAGSGKUAUCCGGAUUUAUUGGGUUUAAAGGGUCCGUAGGCGGAUCUGUAAGUCAGUGGUGAAAUCUCACAGCUUAACUGUGAAACUGCCAUUGAUACUGCAGGUCUUGAGUGUUGUUGAAGUAGCUGGAAUAAGUAGUGUAGCGGUGAAAUGCAUAGAUAUUACUUAGAACACCAAUUGCGAAGGCAGGUUACUAAGCAACAACUGACGCUGAUGGACGAAAGCGUGGGGAGCGAACAGGAUUAGAUACCCUGGUAGUCCACGCCGUAAACGAUGCUAACUCGUUUUUGGGUUUUCGGAUUCAGAGACUAAGCGAAAGUGAUAAGUUAGCCACCUGGGGAGUACGUUCGCAAGAAUGAAACUCAAAGGAAUUGACGGGGGCCCGCACAAGCGGUGGAUUAUGUGGUUUAAUUCGAUGAUACGCGAGGAACCUUACCAAGGCUUAAAUGGGAAAUGACAGGUUUAGAAAUAGACUUUUCUUCGGACAUUUUUCAAGGUGCUGCAUGGUUGUCGUCAGCUCGUGCCGUGAGGUGUUAGGUUAAGUCCUGCAACGAGCGCAACCHCUGUCACUAGUUGCCAUCAUUAAGUUGGGGACUCUAGUGAGACUGCCUACGCAAGUAGAGAGGAAGGUGGGGAUGACGUCAAAUCAUCACGGCCCUUACGCCUUGGGCCACACACGUAAUACAAUGGCCGGUACAGAGGGCAGCUACACAGCGAUGUGAUGCAAAUCUCGAAAGCCGGUCUCAGUUCGGAUUGGAGUCUGCAACUCGACUCUAUGAAGCUGGAAUCGCUAGUAAUCGCGCAUCAGCCAUGGCGCGGUGAAUACGUUCCCGG
rnacentral:rRNA from 1 species